GGAAAGAGAAUAUCUACAUCAGAGGAGAUGUCACUGGAUGUAAGAGAGGGGCUAAUAGGGAUCACUUGCAUGCCAUUAUCUAGAAGUGGUCUCCUAACCUCCAGCAAAGGUGUCCAGACUACAGGCAGCAUGUGGCCCGAGGCUGAAACCAAAUGCCUGGGAUAAUCUUGUCUGCAGAAGAAAAUCAUUCUGGCCGAGUGGUUCCACUGCCAUCAAUACUCUUUAAUCAUUCCUCACCGGGUCUAUAUCAGAUGGGGCCCUGGAGCACUCGUGCCUAUGCUUGUCCAUACCCAGGUCAGACAGAGGAAGAAAGCUAUUGAUUUGGAACUGCGCUGGAUUUCCCUGCGGGCCAGGAUCAGUGCCAAAGACAUUUUGCCAAAUUUUGAUUUUAUUAGCAAAUGAAUUGCAGGUCGCAGAUGCCAAAAUGUGAAAUUGAUAUUCAUUAGCAAAUUAUCUCCAGGUUUCUAAUCUCUCUAUUCAUUGCUACAAUGGGCCGGGAACGUUCAAUGCCUAAUAUGCGUUCAUGUGGAUGCAGAUGAGAUAUUUGAGCCUGGCUAAAUGGGAAUGCUUAGUUUACACAGUCAGAUGCGGAUUCCUUCUGAGCCCCACUGCGUUCUAUCAGCAGAGAGCAUUCGGAAAGACAGCAAGUCUGCCAUCGCUGGCAGGAGCGCAUUUCUUAUAAGGAGUUGCAGACAAGCUUUUAACUCCUCAGGUUUUAAAUGAAUAUCACCCUGCAGCAAUGGAUCUUAGACAGCGAGUCUAAGAUAUAUGUAUGGAUGUCUGGGGAGAGUAAUGAGGAGAAAUUACAGAGCUUGAUGGGAACGGCUGUGAGUACGGGACACGCAGAUCUUUCCGCCAUUAAUGGAAGCAAGCAGCGAAAUGGGAGGCCCAAGUUAUAUGGGGAAUAACUGAGAGCAAAGAUUAUUCAUCGGUGUCUUUCCGAAACGCGUUAAACAUGAAGACGGUGAAA